CAGUAGCCGCGGGAAUACGGAGGGUGCAAGCGUUAAUCGGAAUUACUGGGCGUAAAGCGCACGCAGGCGGUCUGUCAAGUCAGAUGUGAAAUCCCCGGGCUUAACCUGGGAACUGCAUUUGAAACUGGCAGGCUAGAGUCUUGUAGAGGGGGGUAGAAUUCCAGGUGUAGCGGUGAAAUGCGUAGAGAUCUGGAGGAAUACCGGUGGCGAAGGCGGCCCCCUGGACAAAGACUGACGCUCAGGUGCGAAAGCGUGGGGAGCAAACAGGAUUAGAUACCCGCGUAGUCCCUGUCUCUUAUAA
rnacentral:rRNA from 1 species